GACGAACGCUGGCGGCGUGCCUAAUACAUGCAAGUCGAACGCAGUGGGGACGGGUGAGUAACACGUGGGUAACCUCCCCUCAGAGGGGAUAACACUUUGAAACAGGUGCUAAACCGAUACUGAUGGAUGGACCCGCGGUGCAUUAGCUAGGUGGUGAGGUAACGGCUCACCAAGGCCACGAUGCAUAGCCGACCUGAGAGGGUGAUCGGACACACGGGGACUGAGACGCGGCCCAGAAGCCUACGGGAGGGAGCAGUAGGGAAUCUUCGGCAAUGGACGAAAGUCUGACCGAGCAACGCCGCGUGAGUGAAGAAGGGUUUCGGAUCGUAAAACUCUGUUGUUAGAGAAGCGGUAUCUAACCAGAAAGCCACGGCUAACUACGUGCCAGCAGCCGCGGUAAUUC
rnacentral:rRNA from 1 species